rnacentral:lncRNA from 1 species
UUAAUAUUAUGUCUACUCACAAGGCAUUGUGCUGAGGCUGGCAGGAGUCAGUGGCGAACCGUUUAAACCUUGGGGUGGACUACCCUCUCUUCCCAGGAGAGUUUAUUGCCCAACAAUGCAUAAUCUAUUAGUCGCUCCUCGCGGGGGAUCCAGAAAGUGACAUCUUGACUUGAACCAGCACGCAGAUCGGAAAGCCACUUCAAAGGAAACCUUGUAGAGAAGAAGAGCAACUUUCUAAUUCCUGUCAAACUAAGAGGCGGAACCAAGCCCAGAAGUAGCCUCAAGGCCUGGAGAGAGCAGAGCAGAGAGCCGACUCCACACUCCAGCCAAGGCUCAAGAAAGGCUUUGCUUCUGGAGGCGGCAUUGUUCCUCCAUCCGCUCAGCCUCCGCGUCUCCCCUCCGCGGACUCUCAGAAUCACUGCCUUUCUCGGGUACCUCUCCGCCGACCUCCGGGAUCUGGGUGCCUGGGUCCCAAGGCGCACCCAAGCAGGCUCACUGCAGAGGCUGGGGCGCCGCUCGGAAGACUAGGAGCCUCCGCACGAGUCCGCCCCGACCAGGGCAGCGCGCAGCGCACACUCAGUGUCUCACUCCUCUCGGCUUCCCUGGCUCCCACGGACUCGGUUGGCCUCUCACCACCCACUCGGGUUCGCCUUUCCUGCCUUGGCUUCCCACACCAGCUCCGCACCGCCGCCACAGCCGCGUCCCGACGCUCCGAACCCUAGCAGGCCGGGAUGAAGGGAUGCCAGGGUCAGGGAUGCACCCGAAGGAGAAGAGAGGCUAAGGCGAGCCGGGGCAGGUGGGGAGUCGCGGGCUGCGGGAGAGGGCGUGUGCGAGCGAGCCCCCCGAGAAAGAUGCAUGUACUCGGCCACCCCGCUGGAAGAAGGACCGAGGGGGCAGGAUGCAACGUGGAGAACGCCCACCGCGAGGGUGCGCAAAACCGGCGAUUUGCAAAGUGCCAGGGCCAGACAGGCAGAGGGGGAGGAAGGAGGCUGGCUGAAGACCAGGAACAGAGAGAAGAGCCCACUUCUCCAUCAAAAGGUCUGUUCGGUUAACGCAUCCCCAGAGCAGGAGUUAAUCGAGGACUGGAUGCAGUGUAAAAGGAUCAAAAGAAUGUGAAUAAUGGUCUCUGUGCUCAUCAGCUCUGGAACAUUUCGCUGUGUUGAGGAGAAGAAGAUGAAAACCAAGCUUUGAGACGCACGUAAAUGUAUCAUAAGCUACCCGACCGAUAUAUAAACAUAUAUAGGUUCUUUGCAUGUAAAUCCAAAAGAAGAGCACCCCAGAAGCCUCUGGAGGAGGGAGGGGGCUGGAGCAGCAAAACUUGGCAGAGCAAAUGUAUCCAAGGAUUUCGUGCCAGAAUUCCUGAGAAGCUUUGGAGGAAGAGGAAGAAAAAGAAAAAUAUGAAAUUAUCCCUAAACACACACUUGAAACUGGAGACGCCUAAAGGAGAGUAGAAACGGAGAAGAUGAGGUUUUUCUGGGAACCACGGAUCCGUCAGCCAAAUGAGCAAUCGCCACAGAAAAUCCUAGGCGGAGCGGUAGCUCCAGAUGGGUCCCCUGCUCGCGUCCCCGCCGCUGCCGCUGCUACCUGUAGACAGGCACACACACACACACACACACGCACACUCACGCGCGCACACACACAUCAGCCUCUGCUGCGCGCGCUCUCUCCCUCUCUUGGCCAUACGCUGGGAGCUGGAGUCUCAACACAACUAGAUCUACCCUCCUGCCGGGCGGUCCUGCUCACCAGCUCCGGCUCACUACUCCUGACAGCCUUGUAGCACAGCAUCACUUCCCCCAGGUCGGGGGGGGGGGGGGGAGCCUCCACAGCAGCCGCCUAGGUGCUGGUGGCGGCCCCCUCCCUUUACUAAGUUCCGCCUUCUCUGGUCCCUCCAACCCGCGGUAGCCCGAACACCCCGCAGCGCCCACGGCGCCAGCAACGUCCGAGGUUGCAGGAAGGGUGAAGGGCCCUGGGCGUCACUCGUGACGUCUUCUAAGCCUCUUGGAGCGGCAACUAAAUGCGGGUUGGCAAGGUGGAGGUGGCGGUGGCGGUGGCGGUGGCGGGCCACCUGCAAGAAGCCUCCUGCAAGCUGAGUUUCUUGGUCCUUGGUGCCUUGGUGCUGUGUUUCAGGGGCCUGGGAUUGGUGAGAGGGGAGACUGGACCUGGGGGAAACAGCAUACCACUGAGUAUCGCAGGAUCUCACCCAGACCAGCAAACUCCCCUCAAAUUCCCUUUAAGUAGGAGCAGGCUGGUCCCUGAACUGGUAGGAGCAUUAUAAAUGUCUAGUACUAUUAGUCUCUCCUCUCCAGCUGUGCCCACAUUCUUAACUGCUGGAGAGUCAACGUUUAAAAAUCCACCACAGUAAUCAUUAUUGGCUUUUGUGACUUGUGAAGGGUGUGAUGCCUAGCAGUGCACUCUUGCACCCAGUCACAACCUACUAGCCUCUGUGAUCUCUUUGAAAGAGAAGAGAGAAGCUGAGACCCACUGAAAUAAUUGAUGACCACCUGUAACAAUCUUAACCAAAAGGAGAAUGAGGAGUUGCUCUGAGAAACCAGAGACACACAAGCUACAGCUCUCUUUUCUAUCUUGGGGUUCGUCUCAUUCGUCUUAGUCUAAGUCUCUAAAAUUCAGAGGAAUGGGUUACCCCAAAUAGCAACCCAAUGAAGGCGAUUGUCCUAACAGAUUUAAGGUAAUUGUUGCUAUUUGUUAAUUAAUACUAACCAAUAGGAACUGUGAGAUUCUGUCACAGUCAUGCUGGUUUUCAGAACAACCUUGAUCAUGACAUAUUUUCCCCACUUGGAAGGAUCCUGAAGGCACUUUUCCAUAGUUUUGCGACUUAGUACAUCUUUUUUGUUUAUUUGGUUUUGUUUUGGUUUUGGUUGUUUUCCUUUCAAGGAAGUAACCUAUAGGUAUGCCUAGGACAAUAAGGCUUCACUCUGAAUCAAGCCUGGGACACUUGGCUACUGCUCUUCCUUCUCUAGUCUUGCUAAUUCAACUUGAAACCUUCAAAAUUUCUAUGCAGCUUUCCAGAAAGUUGAAAACAAGUAAGUGUUCUCAUAUCAGCAACACUAUUUCAUCGAAUCUUUAACUUCCAGGAGAUAGCACACUUAAAAUAUUAUAAUAUGUAGGGCAUAUGGUACAUACCUUUAAUUUAAUUGAAUCAGUUCAGUCCUAGCAUUCAAGAGGCAGAGGCAAGAGGACCUCUGAGUUCAAGGCCAGCCUGGCUAAAACUAAUGAGGAAGAAGCCAUUUUAAAAGAAACAAACAAAGGUAGCAUCAUGAGAGAGGCUAUCAUAGUAAUUACAACAUUAAGCUUUUAAACAAGAAGCAAAGACAAUUCAGUAAAGAUGCCACUUGUAACUUCCAUAAGCUUCUGUGUAAUCUGCUGUCUCCUCAUCCCGUGGCCACCCUUUGCAGCUGUCCUGCUAAGCUCUAAACGUAGUAAUUGAACAUUGCUUAUUUCCAAUAUUCUAUAUCAAUAAGAUGACAUUACUUUUAGAUAAGUCCUAUUGUAGCUUUACAUUAUUCUUUGUGAGAACGAAAUCUAUACACUGAACAUUAUAAUCUCAUUUUCAUGAGUUACUUAAAAGAAAAGCUCAAGAAGGUUAACAAAACAGACGUGCCAGACAGGCAACAUUUGUCACCGUCUGUGUGUGCCAUGAACCUGUGAUGGAUAAGGCUGUCUAGUUGGAGCUAUAAUCAUUUUAGAGACAGGCUUCUGGGCACCCUGGUCAAGGACUAUACUUGUUAGUUUUUUUCUUUUAUUUUUACUGUGACUUUAUCUGUCUAUCUCUCUCUCCCUCCUCCUCCUUCCCCUGUGUGUGUUGGAGGGGUGUGUGUGUGAAAGAAUGGGGUGUGGGAGGGUCCCUGGGGACAUCAGAAGAAAGCAUUGGAUAUCCUGGAGCUGGAAUUACAAGUAGUUGUGAACUUUCUAAACGGAGGUUCUCUGGAUGAAAAGCUAGUGCUUGUCUGAGAACUUGUCUUGGCUAGGGGUGGUAGAAGUCACUACUCCCUAGCUGGGGAUUCUGGAAAUAACUAAGCAAGUUCUGCAUGCCUUCCCCUCUUUGCUUCCUAACUGGAGAUGCACUAGGCCUAGUUCCCCCAAACUGCUGCCUUUGUGACUUUCUACCUCUGUGGACUGUAUUCAGGGACUGUAAGCAAAAGUAAACCUCUUCUCGCUUAUGCUACUUCUGCGACAGUAUUUUGUCACAGCAACAAGAAAUUAAGACACAUUCAUAAGAGCCGAACUUCUAUUGAUCAGUUUUUUUCCACAUCCCCCACUAUAGCUCUCAAGGAAAUAAGCCCACCCAUGUCAUUUGGUGCCGAAGCCACUAACCUCACAUUCCACUUCUGCAAAACUGGAAUACUACUAGCACCUGCCUGGUGGUAUUGCUGUGUUUAUCAUAACAAUGCACAUAAACUUGGAACACUAAGGAUAUGUGUUUUCAGGGGUUCUAAUUUAGCAUCGUUAUGAUGUCUUUUCUCUUUUGACUAAAAUACCAAUACACAGAAGGGCAUUUGUUUUUCGUGUUGAAAAUCAGUCAUACUACUUGAGUGCAGUAUGACUUCAUGGACAAGUCAAUAGUGAUUUGAGCAUGAUUUCCUAGGCUAUGCCUUCCUUUAUUCUCUUCUCCUUUUCUUUUCUUUUCUUUUCUUUUCUUUCCCUUUCUUUUCUUCUUUUCUUUUCUUUUCUUUUUUUUCCUUCCUUUCUUUCUUUUUUAUUUUGUGAUAAGGCAUUAAGUAUCACACACUGGCCACCAACUCACUAUGUAACCAAGAAUGGUCUGGAAUUUCUCACCCUUUAUUCUCUGACUCCCCAGACAUUACAGGUAUGUGUCACCACAGUCAUUACUGUUCUUUUACCGCUUAAGUUUAGCACGGAGAGACAUAUUGGACACAAUUAUAAUCUAGAAAGUACUGAUCAUUAAAGGUCAUGUGGCCUUCUGGGUUGUGAAGUUAAUGGUGCUCAAAUACAAAGUCUGUCAUUAAGUCAGAGGCUGUCUGCAAGUCUCAGUAAAGUAAAAACCACACAAAUUCUCUGUAAAAUUUGCACAAACACAUCUGCUCACUUGCAGAUUUGGGAGGAAGUCUUGGAAUAAAAUAAAUAAAAACACUGGUAUUUUUUUUUUAAUCAUUGGCUCCAAAAGGCCUAGGUUUGAAAACUAUGUAUUUAUUUAUUUAUUUACUAACUUAUUUAUUUAUUUAUGAUAGAGUGAAGGCAGAUGUCUCUAAAGAAGUAUACAUUCAUCUUUAUAAGUGUGUUUAUGUUCAUGUGUGUGUGUGUUCAUAUUGUCAGAUAGCUGUGAUAAUAACAUCUUUCCCAGAAAUGAAUGGUUAAAAUAUGGGGAAAAGAAAGGCUUGAGUGUAUAUUUGAGACACCUCAAUGUGCUAGUGUGUGUUCUAGGUGUGUUUUCAAUCUAGAAUGUCACUAAGUGGGAAGAUUUCAACCCCUCCCCAGUAAUUACAUAUACAAAGAAAAUUAAAUAACAUGUUCUCCUCAAGUGAAGAAAAAGCAAUGGGUAUUACUCAUUCUUUGGAAAAGUCUUGAAGACUCACAGCAGGAAAUUAAUAUUUUUCCCCUUCCCAAAGAGCUUAAGAAGAAAGAGUGUUAAUAAAGUGUUACCCUGAGAUGAAAUUUUAUUGCAGUGUUCAUCAUAAAUUACAUGCAUUUUACUUAAAAUGGGUUAAAUAUAAAUAAUAUGCCAAGAAGGAGCUUAUAGGGCAAUGACAGCUCAUAUUUCUACUUUGAAGAAGUAAAAGACAAAGGUGAUUAAUCUGUUAAAUUGUGACAUUAUAAAGGGAACCACCUGACCAGCUUCCUGGCAGCAUCCUGUUAGGUGGGCAAAGGGUAUAGAUAUUAGAAAUGCUAGUAAGUCAGAGGGAAACGUCUAGAAUUACUAGCCCAGUAGUGUAGAGUAUCCAUUUGGCCACAGUCCAGGUGGUUGGCACACAAACAUUAUUCUUCUGCCCGUAUCAUCUCUAUAUACAGCAUAUCUAAAUCCAUCCACCCUGUAUCUGGCCCUAACCAAGUCAAAUCCUCCUACAACUUACAUUUCCUGGGAUCCAAAACCCAAUGUGUUUUCAGCCCAGCACAUCUUUAUUUAGCUUUCUUUCCACUGUAGAUCUCCCAGUUUCUACUAUUGCUAAGUUCAUCGGUCUCCUAGGAAAAUCCUAAUGAUUUCUUGGAUUAUCCCAGCUACUCUGCUUACCUACCGGUGUUGCCUACGACAAUACAACAGCAAACAUAUCCCUCAGGCACAGAUGAUUUGUGUUUUCUCUUCGUGGCAUUAAUCUGCAUAUCCUGUGAUGUACUUCCAGUCAAUCUUGUGCAUGAUCAUUAAAUCUGUGAUGAUUUUCUAGUGGUGUUGCUUUAACUGGGGUCUUAUGCAUACCAAUUGAACAUUCUGCCACUUGGCAUGCCUCCAGCCCAACUUCUAAGGUCUCUGUUUAUCUAAAUUUAUUUUUAAUAUACCAAAUAUUCUCUGGCCAUACACUUUAUACUUCCCAAUCUACUUCUAUGCAGGCCUGUAUUCUCCUCAUGACAGAUAUAAGACACCCCCCUCACUCCUGUGAGUCUCUUUUCAGUUAUCACAUUUAAAGCAAGACAUUGUUGACUUCAUUAUCACAAAUGGGCUCUUCUCAUUUUGUCUCUGAUACUUUGUGUUUUGACUUAGACAUACUUACCACAACCUGAUUUUGUUUGUCUCUUUCUGUCAUCAGAAGUCAAAUUCAGUUAAGUCAUAAGAUUACUCUUAGGCUGAUAUGUUAGCUUCUAGGUGCUAACAACUAGACUGCUUUACAGUGAUGUUCUGUAAAAUGUAAUUGAGGGGAAAAGGGAGGGAGGGAGGGAAGGAGGGAGGGAAGAAGAGAGGGAGGGAGAGGAACACAAAUAAAUGAGAUGAAUAUCAAUUUUAGGGACAUGGUAUUACAGACUGUCUCUAUCUUAGGUAACAGUAGAACAUAAAAACAUACAAAUCUGUUCAGAUAUUCUUUAAGCAUCUUUUCUUUAAUGCAUAUCUCACUUUAAAUGCAUUAAAACUAUAAUUACAGGACGUGUGCCUCACUUUUCUGAGAUAAUGUUUAGAAUGAGCAUAUAUUAGCUCUAAAUGUACUUAGAAAAAAUGAGAUGAUAUUCUCAAAGAUACUUUGCCACUUAAAAAACCAAUGAUACUUUAUUAUACAAGACUUAAAUUCCACAUUUUCUUCCCAUUUUUCAGAGUUUUGCUAUUUUAAAUCAUGCACUUAAGUGAUGUUCUUUUCGUUCCAUUCUAAAAUUCUCUCCUUGGUAAUUAUAUAAAAUGUGAGGCUUAUGGAAGCAUUUAUCAAACCCAAAAUUGUGUUUAUAAUUACAUAUGUAUGUAUGUAUGUAUAUGUGUGUAUACAUAUACAUAUAGAGAGAGAGGGGAGAGAGAAAGAAUUGCUGUGUAUGAAUGUGUGUGGUGGGACACUGGUAAAUAAUUAGAUCCUAUUUGAUCAUGUCACUCACAUCUAAGUCCUAGAAGCAUUAUAUUCAUUACACCAUAUCAGUUGCAUCUAAAUUCUACAUACAGGAUCCAGUAGGUUUCUGGUAAUCUAGUUAAGUGAGUUCUUAAUCACCAACCUUUUGAGUUCCUCUGUAGUUAGUAUUGUACCUACUGUAAUAUUAAAAGACAUGCCCACUCCCCACUUAAAGGCUGGCAGACUUUGAAGGAGGAUCAUAUCUAGAGUACAUGAUGCACAGUGCAAAUAUGUUUCUUAGAACAUUCUAAGGAAAAGAGUGAAACACAUGAAGACAUUGCCUCACCAAAGAGUCAGAUGUAUUCUUAGUGACGAGUAGUUUAUCUGAAUCAUGAGGAGGUGUGGAAAGAAAUGUCAAAAAUAAACAUGUAUGUAAAAAGAAAAAGGUAAUGAGGAGACUUGCCUAUCAAACAAUGACAUUUGGACCUGAUCCUUCAGAAACUCAAGUUGUAUAGUCACAAUUGUAUAGUGAAUGCUAGCAAUAAGAGAGGAAAACAUCAAAUCAAGGAAGUUAAAUAUGAAGUUAUUGCAAAAAUAAACAAAAGAAUUAUGAAGAAGUGUGAAUUCUGUAGUGAUGAUAGCCAUAAUAUAAAUUAAUGCCUUUCUCAAAAUGUCCAGUAAGUUUAUUUCCCUUUCACAAUAAAAUGCAGACUGCUUGAACAGCACCCAUCUCUCUCUAGUGUAACUGACAAUCUCAAACCUCAACCACAGUGAAGUCAAGGAAGCACACCCAAAGGCAAGUCAUCUUCUCAGGUGAUUGACCUGGGAGGUUCAAGGUUCCUAGUGCUGCGACUGUAUUCAGAGUAAUAACUAAACUCAUCUCUGUGUUCCUUAGCUUGCCUCACCUGGAUUUCCUGAAAAGGUCCCGCCUAUGUGGAUUAAGGCAAACCCAGAGCACCCUUGAGCACAUAUUCCCAGAGAAGACCACCUUAAUACCUAUAGAAAAAAGUUCUAAAUGAUCUUGCUUUCCUUACACAUUCUUUUCUGAAUGUGUAAGAAUGGAAGUAAUUUCAUUUGUCAAGGCCAGGUCACAUAAUAUAUUUUAAUACUCACAAAUUUCUCAUGUAGUGAAGGCCAACAUAGGAAAUUCCUAUAUGUGUCAGUGUAGUCACUAAAAGAAGAGAGACAAAAUGAUUUUCUAGGCUCCGUGAGAGUUAUGUGGUGGCAACUCCCAAUUUUCUUGCAGUCCAUUUGAUCUGAGGGAAAAAGAUAUUUAGGGAUGCUGAAGAUACACAAAUUGUGGUGUCCUACCUUCAAAUCUUUGUUCACUUGAUUUGCACUUUGUUGCUAAUAUUAUCUGGUGAAAAAGAACUCUAUAAAUAAACGUUUUGCCCAUAUCAGGUACCCAGUGAGUGUUCAUUAAGGAGAAUUCCUAAGCGGUUCAAUAGAUAUCCAGGAGAGUCAAGGUUGAGUCAUAUUAUUAAAGAGGCUUGAAUUGGAAGGUUGAAAAAAUACAAUAACCCAAUGCAACUCAUUGAGUCAUUUCUCCGAAGUGCAGUCAUGAAAGUGCAAGGAAGAUUAAUUCGGAAAACAAAGAAGCAGCAGGAGUUGGGGGUGAAAGAGAGCAAGAGAAAGCAGAGGGGCUGAAUCUGACCAAGUACAUUACACACAUGCAUGAAAAUGUAAGGGUGAACCAUUAUUUUGUACAAUUAAUAUACGCUAAUAAAAUAUUAAAGCAAGAGAAUGUGGUCACAUAUAACCAAGACUUGAUGAACACACAGUGAAAAGAAUGCAAAGAUGAGAAUGGGAGGAAAGGAAGACAACAGUUCUUUAAAGGCUGUCUUCAGCUUGUUGAAAAGGAAGUGGUUGGAGCCUGGUGCCCACUGGCUUUAGAAGCACAGGUUAACGAAUGACAUAGCAGGUAAGCUGGAUUCAAAGACUAUAUGAAACUUACCUAUACACAUAUAUCAUUUGGUUCAACAAAAACACAGGCUGGGCUUUUAACUAAGAUGGCAGCACCUUCAAAGUAGUGUUUUUAAUGAGGAACUGAAUUGUGCAUGUUGAAGGAAGUAUGGAGUGGGAGAUAUUCAAAUCAGUGAGAGAGAAGCUAGGAAACCUAAAAUGUUCGUCCAGAAGGGGUGAAGACAAUGAGACUUAUAAAAUGAGUGGAAUUUAACCUCAAUUCUCUUAGGAAAAAAUUACAGAGACUUAGAAACCAAAGGGCAAUAAGAUAUGGUAGGAAACUGCUUUCCGUUACAUGACAGGCUUAAAUUUACAAGGGUGAAGGCUUAGUUCAGGGUGGAUUUCCCUGUUUUUAAUGAGUAACUGUAUUUUAAGUAUGCUCAAUUAUAAUUUAUGGAAUACAUUAAAGUAACAAACUACUUCCUCAUACAAUAUCAAGUGCCUAUUUCUUAAUAAUCUACUUCAGUUGAAAGUAUAAAAGUGUUCUUCCAGUCAUUUAUAUAUAAAUAGAGGUGUUAAGUGUCCCUUACAGUAUUAAGAAAUCAAUAUAAAUAUUUAAUGCAAAGGAAACAAGAGAUGAUUCAAACAUCUUGGGAUUGAAGUUGGAGAUAAUUGCUCUCUAUCUCUUGUUUCUUUCUAGUUUUCUCUGUUUCAGAGAAAUGAGGAUUCUAUUUGAUAGCUGAAGUAAUAAUUACAGUUGUUAAAUGCCCAAGCCAAGUUACCGGUUCUUGCUUAUCCCGCGCUGUCACACUGUGUCGGAAUAGCUUGAUGUUUGGGAUAUCAUUAUAAAAAGGCCCUCACUUCACCUCAACCCCGUGCUCUCAUGAACAAAAUCUCCAAGGAAGAGCCCUUAGAUCAUUAGACCAAGUUAGAUCACUGACAUUUUUGUUCACCGUGAGACUUUAAAUAUUUACUUUUGUGGUACAGAAAUACCACAGGAAAUGAGUAUGGGCCGAAACACUUGCUCCAUGGAGACGGAAAGUGAUCUGAUAGUGGCUCUGAUAAGUAAUGCACAGAUAGAGCUGCUUCACGGGGGAGGGAGGGGGCCCGCAUGUCAUUGUCAGAGAUAACUAAGAAAUCCUGCAAUGCAUUGAAAAAUUCAAAUAUGGUCCCGGAGAGAAGACUCAGCAGGCAAUAGUACUGCCUGUUCUUUCAGAGGACCAGGGUUUUAUUCCCAGCACCCAGAUGGUGGCUGACAGAUGUCUGUAAGUCCAGUUCCUGGUGAUCCAAUGCCCACUUCUGAUCUCUGAAGAUGCCAGGCACAGAUGUGGUACACAGAUAAAUGUUCAGGAAAAACAGCAUACACAAAAAACCAGACAUAUGUGCAGAAAACUACCAUACACAAAAUUAAGAUGAAAUUCAAAAAUGGUCCUAUCUAUCUGGAUAUGUUCCCAAUUAGAUGCUGCAUACAAGGAUACAGGGGUGUAGGUCAGACAAAAGAAUGCCACUGCCUUUAUUAAAGCAGACACUCAUUUCUCCUGAACUUCAUGCCAGACUGAAACAUCCUUUUACCCCACUAACCCCGUCUUCUUAUCUUAGCUAUGCCUCUGUCUUUCCUCCUGGAGCAUUCUGUUUCUGGAAAUGUCUUCUAUCCUUUCCUCUAUGAGCUGCAUCCAUUUUUUGGUAAGAUUGGAGCAGUGUUCUGACUUCGGAUCUUUUCUGGUCGUUUUACCAUUAUCUUGCUACAGGCAAGAGUAUUUGAGUCAGGAUAAUCUUAUGUGUGAAUUUCUCAUCUAGCACAUUUCAAAAUUGUUUGUUGUUUCAUGUUUAUUUCUCUAGCCCACAUGGCACAUGGGUUUGCAGAGGUAAAUGUUUUAGAGUAUGUUUUAAAUGAAUGAGCAGAAAGUGAAUAAAUGAAAACUGAAUAUGUUUUAAAUGAAUCAGUUACAAAGACAUGAGCCAUGCUCAUGUGUGCACAUACUAUGCACUUCAUGCUGAAUGGAUGAAGUGAUUGAUCAAUGCUGAAAAGAGCAAUUAUAUAUGCACUUGCAUAUAUGCCUGAGUACAGUUAUUAUAUCAGUUAUUAAAUCUGCAGCAAAAUAUACCUUGAUUGAUAAGCACUGUAACAGAUAAACUACAUUGUCAACUUGCUGGGAUUGAGCCAUCAUGAUAACAACCUUCUGAGAAUGUCUGUGAGGAAGCUUCUAGAUUACAUCAGUGGGGGUAGACAAACCCUCUUGCAACAGCACUGUCCAUGGACGGGGUCCCUGGCCUGAACUCAAAGGAGAAAGCAAGCCGAGUACCCAAGCACCCGCAGUCAUCUCUCUUCCUGACUGUGAUUCAAUGGGACCAGCUCCACAGGCACCAGCAGUCAUGACUGCCACUCCAGGAUGGACUGUACCCCUGUGCGAGGCAUUAAAAUAAAGCUUCCCUUCAUUAACUUGCUCUCAUUCUAUAUUGUUUCUGAAGCAGAAAGGAAAACAACUAAGAAGGCACAUUUAAAAUUCUUUAAAUUCUCUCUUGCUUGCUCUCUCUCUCUCUCUCUCUCUCUCUCUCUCUCUCUCUCUCUCUCUCUGUGUGUGUGUGUGUGUGUGUGUGUGUGUGUAGUUUUUCAUCAUAUCAUAACUUCGGAUGUACAAGACUAGUGAUAAAGACCCUAGUGUAAAUUGAUGGUGACCAUGAGAGUUGGUGAGUGCGUGCCAAAUGAUGUGAAAGUGGAGGUUCCUUUAGCCUAACUAUAAUCUUUUCCCCAGAAAUAAAAACUAAAUGCAAAGAUAAAUAUCUAUUCCAUUUAUUUUCCCAUUUAUUAUUUAUCCAAACACACAUAGCAAUAAAAAUGCCAAUAAUAAAUAAUAGUCAUUAAG